CCUACGGGAGGCAGCAGUGAGGAAUAUUGGUCAAUGGGCGAGAGCCUGAACCAGCCAAGUCGCGUGAAGGAUGACGGCCCUACGGGUUGUAAACUUCUUUUGUCAGGGAGCAAUUGAGUCCACGUGUGGUCUUAGCGAGAGUACCUGAAGAAAAAGCAUCGGCUAACUCCGGGCCAGCAGCCGCGGUAUACGGAGGAUGCGAGCGUUAUCCGGAUUUAUUGGGUUUAAAGGGUGCGUAGGCGGAAUAUUAAGUCAGCGGUAAAAAUUCGGGUCAAAACCCCGUCGUGCCGUUGAAACUGAGUUCUUGAGUGGGCGAGAAGUAUGCGGAAUUCGUGGUGUAGCGGUGAAAUGCAUAGAUAUCACGCAGAACUCCGAUUGCGAAGGCAGCAUAC
rnacentral:rRNA from 1 species